rnacentral:rRNA from 1 species
UGAGGAAUAUUGGUCAAUGGGCGCGAGCCUGAACCAGCCAAGUAGCGUGCAGGAUGACGGCCCUAUGGGUUGUAAACUGCUUUUGUAUGGGGAUAAAGUCAAUCACGUGUGAUUGUUUGCAGGUACCAUACGAAUAAGGACCGGCUAAUUCCGUGCCAGCAGCCGCGGUAAUACGGAAGGUCCGGGCAUUAUCCGGAUUUAUUGGGUUUAAAGGGAGCGUAGGCCGGAGAUUAAGUGUGUUGUGAAAUGUAGACGCUCAACGUCUGACUUGCAGCGCAUACUGGUUUCCUUGAGUACGCACAACGUUGGCGGAAUUCGUCGUGUAGCGGUGAAAUGCUUAGAUAUGACGAAGAACUCCGAUUGCGAAGGCAGCUGACGGGAGCGCAACUGACGCUUAAGCUCGAAGGUGCGGGUAUCGAACAGGAUUAGAUACCCUGGUAGUCCGCACAGUAAACGAUGGAUGCCCGCUGUUGGUACCUGGUAUCAGCGGCUAAGCGAAAGCAUUAAGCAUCCCACCUGGGGAGUACGCCGGCAACGGUG